AGCUAAUACAUGAGCACAUUCUCAACUAUUUUAGAAGAGAAGCAUUUAUUAGAUAAAAAACCAAUAUAUGUUUUUAAAGCAUARAAUUUGGUGAUUUACAAUAACUAAGCAAAUCGCACAGUGCAAACUGGCGAUAAAUCAUUCAAGUUUCUGACCUAUCAGCUUUCGACGGUAAGGUAUUGGCUUACCGUGGCAGUGACGGUUAACGGGGAAUUAGGGUUCAAUUCCGGAGAGGGAGCCUGAGAAACGGCUACCACAUCUAAGGAAGGCAGCAGGCGCGCAAAUUACCCAAUUCUAACAGCAUAAGAGAGGUAGUGACAAGAAAUAACAGUACAAGGCAGUUAAAAUGCUUUGUAAUUGGAAUGAUAGAAAUUUAAAUACUUUUUAAAGUAUCAAUUGGAGGGCAAGUCUGGUGCCAGCAGCCGCGGUAAUUCCAGCUCCAAUAGCGUAUAUUAAAAUUGUUGCAGUUAAAAAGCUCGUAGUUGAAUUUUUGCUAAAAAUAACCGGUCUGCUUUUAUUAAUAAAAGUGGUAUCUUGGUGUGUUUUUAGCAAUAAUGUCCUUUGAA
rnacentral:rRNA from 1 species